CCUUUUUUAAAAUAAUAAAAAUGUGGUAAAAGUUAAAUUUUUGGUCAACUAACGGAAUUGUGGAUGGAAACCGUCCAAAAGGGCUUCACUUGCAACGUUUGAAAAUGUUAGGGGUGACGGUUGCAACAAAUCAAAAGUUUGGGGAAGGUCUGCUAAUGUUUCAAAGGUUUGGGGGUUUUGCCGCAAUUUUUCUUUCUUUUUUUUUAUUUUUUAAAUUUUUACUGGUGGUAUGUUUUUUGUUAUCUAAGUUGACCCAUAUGGGUGGGGAGUCUUGUGGAUGUCUUUUUACUUCAAUUUUAAAUUGUAGCUGAGCAAUAUAAAAGGUAGUUGGGGUUGAUAAGGUUCAUGAAUUUGAAUGUUUUGUUGAGUAUGCAUAGAAAGGAAAAUGAAUUUGAUGUAGUAUUAUAAUUAAUUUGUUGAAUAUUCUUGCUCCUUAAUGUAAUUUUGGUUGGUAGUGACACGUUGUAUGUUAAAUGUGCAGAUUAUGAUUGUGUAUUUCUGAUGAAAUUACUGUUCUACAUUAUGUUUUAUUCUAAGAUUUCAUUUAUUCUAACUUAGAAGAAAUGAAAUGAUAAUAAGUUAAUAAUUAUAAGUUGUUAAUGACUAGGGUUUGUAUAAGCCAUUUUAGUGGUGCAUAGCUUAUAAACAUUUUUUAAUCUAUAAUUAGUAUAAAUCACACAAAAUUUAUGUUAUUAAAAAGAAUUUAAAAUUUCACGAAUUAAAAAAAAAAAAAAAAAAAGAAAUCUAGUUGGCUUGGCUCAGCUUGGCCCCUGAGCCUAAAGCUCGAGCCAAGCCUCGGGUUUUCAUCCGAGCUUUGGCUUUGCUUGGGCUAGAAAAGCUCGAGUCAUUUUUUUGCACGGGCAUUGCAUGAGCUGUGAGUUUUGGCUCGUGAGCUGGCUUAGCUCAUUUACAUGGCUAGGUGUGCAUACAUUACAUGUUCCCAUGGUGAUUUACCCUCUGUAGUUUUUUCUGCUCAUUAACAUGGAAUGGCACAAUAGUGUUUCAGGUUUUAAUAAGAUUGCUAAUAAAAGGGUAUUGACUGACACCUAAUGUACUUAAUUUUGCAGUAAGAAAGCAUGAAGCCAAAUUCUAAAAUUUUUUUUUUACUUAAAAGGCAUCCUGAAGACAAAUGACUACACAAAGAACACUCUUUGGUUAGUGACAUAAAUUUGGUUCUUAAGGAUGAAGUAGUUGUUUUCUUCAGAGAAAAGAAAAAGAAAACAGGAAGAUUAUUAAGUUCAAAGAGCAUUCAUGCUUUAUGUCUUGUCCAGUGCUGUUUAACAUUACUCCAAAUGUCUUAAAAGAUCGAUAGGAUGAUAGAUGAUUAUUCGAACUGUUGACUUAGAACGGAACAAGUAUAUGAUACAAAUCUUGUGCAGAAGUUUUUGAAAUUCAUUUAGAAACCGGUCCUUUAAGAUUUGGAAAGCUGUAGAUUUAAAAAAAUUCACAACUAAGUUCCUGUUUGGGUUAUAGCAAUUGUCUUUUGUUCCACUAAUGACUGACACAUUGUCAGCGUUACGUCUACAUUAUGAGUAGAAUUUAUCAUACUAUACUAUGCCUUGUUUGAGCCCCAUUUUGGGGACAAAAUUGUAUUUUGGAAGAGUGUUUUUGGAGAACAUGUGGUUAAAAAUGAGAAAAAAAUUUAGGUUUAAGUGUGAAAUUAUUUUAUUGGAGAAUAUGUGGUUGAAAAUGAGUUUAUGAUAAAAUGGGGCUCAAACAAGGGCUAUAUCUAUCUCGGUUUUAGAAUGAUAUAUGUCACCUGCUUACCUGUUUGUUUGCUUUUCUAAAGCAUUAUGGUAUAAUCCAUUUUGGUAGCAGGGCUAAUCAACUGCCUAGUUUGUAAUAUGUACAUGUCAUUAUAUCGAGACAUCAUCCCCACCCCAUCUUUGCUCUAAUCCCCGUCCGAUCUGUAUGUAAUUUUUAUGGUUUUUAAUAUUUUUAUUUUAUUAUUUAUUUAUUUAUUUUUGUACAUGGCAUGUGCGCGCUUGAGAAAACAAUAUUUAUUCAUUCAACUAGUGCACCUAGACAUUUGAUGUAAAAGAAUGAUGACAUAUCCCCAACUGAAUUAAUAAUUCCCUCAGUGCAAACUUGGACGAGAACUUAAAUUCCCCUUUGCUUCUCAUUUAUUACCAUGUGAUGCAGAAGAUUGAUGGAAAAGCACAAGAUAAUGCCUGAAAUAUUUGACUGCAACCAAGGACAGGGCAUCUACUUUGAUUCGUAUUAUUUGGAGAAAAUUGUAAUAGAUGAUUAUUUUACGAUCGAAGCAAAAAAAUUAAGCUGAGAAGACCAGCUGGAGAUAUUUCUUCUUUGAUGAUCUAUGUCUUAGGAUCACGCGCUGAGGAACAGAGUCACACUUAAACUAUCCAUGUAGCUGAUCUAGUACAAACACAUUCAUGCCCCCGACAUGGCACACAGUUACUUCACCAUCAGAACAAAUCUAACUCCAACCAACACACUGUGACUUCAUAAUAAAUCUUGCAACACACAAAGAAGCUUGGUCCAGAGGGAAAGGAAUGGUUCCCCUACUAGACUUGCCAAUGAACUGAAAAAUAGUCGGAAAUUAUACCUCACAUUUGAAAGAAUCACAGUUGUUGUUAAGCUUCAUUACUUUCCAGGAAAUUUUUCUGCUGCCCAAAUAUGACUUGCAUAGAUCUCUGUACAAGGACAGAAAUAGGCACCUGAUAUUGCUGCUCAACCGAAUUUAUCUACAUCAGAGUGGCUGUAGAUUAUAUCUGUGGAAUCAGCAUUACCCCUUGAGUUUAUUUUGGUCUAAAAGGAACAGAAAUUUGAUAUACAUGCCGUCUGCUGUUUCUCCCUGAAGAUGAUAUCUACCUCUUCAUGUUGAUCCUCUAAUACUUAACUUGCGGUAAGCAUCCAUGUGUAGCUAACAUAUGUCAUCCUAGAAAUUUACUAUAUAAAGCUUGUUUGUCUGUCCAUAGUGAUGUCACACUUACUAGUAUCUUGGUCCGUAUAUUUUUGAAUUUAUUCUGAAAUUUUUUUGAAUAAAUUUGCCAUUGUAGAAGCUCAA